rnacentral:rRNA from 1 species
UACGAGGGGGGCAAGCGUUAUUCAAUUUAACUGGGCGUAAAGGGCUCGUAGGCGGCCAACUAAGUCAAACGUGAAAUCCCUCGGCUUAACCGGGGAACUGCGCUUGAUACUGGAUGGCUUGAGAUUGGGAGAGGGAUGCGGAAUUCCAGGUGUAGCGGUGAAAUGCGUAGAUAUCUGGAGGAACACCGGUGGCGAAGGCGGCAUCCUGGACCAACACUGACGCUGAGUGAGCGAAAGCCAGGGGAGCAAACGGG